rnacentral:lncRNA from 1 species
GACGGUGCACUUGAAAUAAUAUAACAGUGCAAUGUCAAGAAAGUAGAGACCCCUGACCCAGCUGAUGAACACAGAUUUCAACGGCUUGAAGUGUCACCUUUUCUUGUUUCUUCUUCGUAAGUCUGAUGUACAGGCACAACGACAAUAUGCAGAAAAAAACAGCAGCAAGGCAGGCCAUCAGGAAGGGACAUGGUGGCCCCGAUGUCACGUACAGACCUUCGCUCGGUUUGUUAGCAAGUGUUUCCUUAAGAUCAUCUGGGGUGAUCUCCAUUCCCACCCUUGACCAUGCUGGUAGCUUGCAGUGCUGCGAGCAAGCCAUUUCAGUCUUCUGCUUUCCACCAAUCACCUGUUCAAAAUCCAAGAGGCGAACAGCCCUCAUCAGCCCAUUGUGAUGGCAUCACAUGUCACAAAUCCCAGUGAGGGUGAAGUGCAGUAUUUCCCAUUACAUCUGUACUGCACAGAAAGGGGUUCAGAAGAUAUGAGGAUUUGUCAUUUGUCAUUGUCUUUCGCAAUGCUCAAACUCUUCAGGCGGCGCUGUCCUCCGACGAGUCGACGUUGGACUCCUGGCUGCCCUCAUAGGCUUCCAAGCGAUGGCAGACGCAGUCGCAGCGGGGAGGACUGGGGCGCCGGCUCGCUGCCUUUCCCCGGCCGUCCGCCACCUGGAUCUUCUCAAGGGCGUCUAUUCUCAUCUCCGCCGCCUUUAGCCGGGAGACGAUCGUCUGCUUCAGGAUCAGCCCGCGGCGCAAAUGCUCAGAGAUGAGCUCUGUCCAGCCGACGAGUCGGAACUUUUGCUGCAGCCCGACAGGAAAAGCCAAGAGAAAUAAUAAAAAAAGAACAGUGCCAUUUGUUGACAGUCUUUUUUUGUACGUGGAAAUAACCUUUGCUAAAGCAAGAACUCGUCAUAAUUAACCUGUUCAACACGAAUCUCCU